rnacentral:rRNA from 1 species
UACGUAGGGGGCAAGCGUUGUCCGGAUUUAUUGGGCGUAAAGAGCGUGUAGGCGGCCAAGCAGGUCAGCUGUGAAAACUCGAGGCUCAACCUCGAGACGUCGGUUGAAACCGCUUGGCUAGAGUCCGGAAGAGGAGAGUGGAAUUCCUGGUGUAGCGGUGAAAUGCGCAGAUAUCAGGAAGAACACCCGUGGCUAAGGCGGCUCUCUAGUACGGUACUGACGCUGAGACGCGAAAGCGUGGGGAGCGGACAGG